rnacentral:rRNA from 1 species
UCCUCCCUCUGGCGGCGUGCUUAACACAUGCAAGUCGAACGGAAAGGCCCUGCUUUUGUGGGGCGCUCGAGUGGUGAACGGGUGAGUAACACGUGAGUAACCUGCCCUUGACUUUGGGAUAACUUCAGGAAACUGGGGCUAAUACCGGAUAGGAGCUCCUGCUGCAUGGUGGGGGUUGGAAAGUUUCGGCGGUUGGGGAUGGACUCGCGGCUUAUCAGCUUGUUGGUGGGGUAGUGGCUUACCAAGGCUUUGACGGGUAGCCGGCCUGAGAGGGUGACCGGCCACAUUGGGACUGAGAUACGGCCCAGACUCCUACGGGAGGCAGCAGUGGGGAAUAUUGCACAAUGGGCGGAAGCCUGAUGCAGCAACGCCGCGUGCGGGAUGACGGCCUUCGGGUUGUAAACCGCUUUCGCCUGUGACGAAGCGUGAGUGACGGUAAUGGGUAAAGAAGCACCGGCUAACUACGUG